UCCUACGGGAGGCAGCAGUGGGGAAUAUUGGACAAUGGGCGAAAGCCUGAUCCAGCCAUGCCGCGUGUGUGAAGAAGGCCUCUUGGUUGUAAAGCACUUUAAGCGAGGAGGAGGCUACUUGGAUUAAUACUCUAGGAUAGUGGACGUUACUCGCAGAAUAAGCACCGGCUAACUCUGUGCCAGCAGCCGCGGUAAUACAGAGGGUGCGAGCGUUAAUCGGAUUUACUGGGCGUAAAGCGUGCGUAGGCGGCUUUUUAAGUCGGAUGUGAAAUCUCUGAGCUUAACUUAGGAAUUGCAUUCGAUACUGGGAAGCUAGAGUAUGGGAGAGGAUGGUAGAAUUCCAGGUGUAGCGGUGAAAUGCGUAGAGAUCUGGAGGAAUACCGAUGGCGAAGGCAGCCAUCUGGCCUAAUACUGACGCUGAGGUACGAAAGCAUGGGGAGCAAACAGGAUUAGAUACCCUGGUAGUCCAUGCCGUAAACGAUGUCUACUAGCCGUUGGGGCCUUUGAGGCUUUAGUGGCGCAGCUAACGCGAUAAGUAGACCGCCUGGGGAGUACGGUCGCAAGACUAAAACUCAAAUGAAUUGACGGA
rnacentral:rRNA from 1 species